UCUCCGUUGGUGAACCAGCGGAGGGAUCAUUACCGAGUUUACAACUCCCGAACCCCUGUGAACAUACCAUUUGUUGCCUCGGCGGUGCCUGCUUCGGCAGCCCGCCAGAGGACCCAAACCCUUGAUUUUAUACAGUAUCUUCUGAGUAAAUGAUUAAAUAAAUCAAAACUUUCAACAACGGAUCUCUUGGUUCUG
rnacentral:misc_RNA from 1 species